rnacentral:lncRNA from 1 species
GCAUCAUCUGGAACUUCCUCCUUUGCCGUUCUUCUCCAGACAGCACAGGAAAAUGGCUGACUUCCACCAUCACUUCCUGUGUCGUCCAAAGGAAUCUCCAGGCAGAAACACAGAACCAAGGAGCAAAAGUGCAAACAGCAUGCUGCUGCCNCUAUGAGUAAUGUGAUCUGACCCUCCUCUGAAAUCGCCUGCUCCGGGAAAUGGUUUCUUCUGACCCUGCAUAUGAAAAUGCCUCAACAUUCCUGGGGACUUCGGUAGCAGCCGUCCUUCUCUCAAACAGCAAAGGGACCUUCUGGAACUUGCCACAAACUUUUUAAGGUGAUCUCUUAGGAAGAUAUUCCUAUUUCUGAUGAUGUUUUCUUAAAUAUCUACGCUGUGUAGUUCCCUUAGGUGUAAAGUAAACAGUUUCAGAGAUCAUGCAAGGUCAGGCAUUUGUGUAGGAGGAGUUUAAGUGAGUAAGAGCAGUUCCUGGCUAUGGGGUGGAUUUGGAAAGUUACCCUGUCAUUCUUGGUGAGUCAAAUGAGGAUCAGAAAACACCAGUGAUGGCAUCUCUUUUUCCAAGCUAAGCCAACCUCAGUUAGUUGCUGCUCUUGUGGCGAUGU